rnacentral:rRNA from 1 species
UACGUAGGGUGCGAGCGUUAAUCGGAAUUACUGGGCGUAAAGUGUGCGCAGGUGGCCGCGCAAGUCGAGUGUGAAAAUCCCCGAGCUUAACUUGGGAAUUGCGCUCGAAACUACGUGGCUCGAGUGUGGCAGAGGAAGGUGGAAUUCCACGUGUAGCGGUGAAAUGCGUAGAGAUGUGGAGGAACACCGAUGGCGAAGGCAGCCUUCUGGGCCAACACUGACGCUCAUGCACGAAAGCGUGGGGAGCAAACAGGAUAGAA